AAAAAAGCCUACAUUUAUUCUUAACUCUUCUCUUUAUGGUUGGGUAUGUAAUGGCCCCUGACAACGUCCAUGUCUGUGGAGUGUGUUAUUUUCACAAACCAUAUUACUCCUCCAGAACCAACAAAGACAAGGACUAUGGACUGAGGCCUCCGAAACUAGGAGCCAAAAUAAUCCUUCUGCUCUAAAGACACUAAAGGAAGUAUACCACACCAAGUGACCACCAAAGAGGAUGGGAUGCAGGAGGAAGGAGGAGGUGACGGAGCGGCAUAAGCGAAGACAAGGACACACAUGUGCCCCGGAAUGUGAUGGUGGAUGUCAAGGUUUGCUAGCGGUCUCCAGCACAACUCUUAACCUUGCAUGUCACAUCUGUUGCAUCAGCAGAAACAUACAAUUUUUGUAGGCGUUCCUAAAACGUAUGGCUUUUGAAACAUUUGAAAAGAAAUUUAAAACUCUGUAACAUGAAGAAAUGCAUGGACCUCCUCUGUCUUGAAUAAUGAAACACCUAACAGGUGCAGGGUAUGCAAACCUGGUAAGUAACUAGAAGAUAAUUUAUAAUGGCAGCCUGGGCCUAGACUGUACUCAAGUGUUGUAUUAAACAACUUCAGCUCCUUUCUAAAGUA